AGUGAACGCUGGCGGUAGGCCUAACACAUGCAAGUCGAACGGCAGCACAGUAAGAGCUUGCUCUUACGGGUGGCGAGUGGCGGACGGGUGAGGAAUACAUCGGAAUCUACUUUUUCGUGGGGGAUAACGUAGGGAAACUUACGCUAAUACCGCAUACGACCUACGGGUGAAAGCAGGGGAUCUUCGGACCUUGCGCGAUUGAAUGAGCCGAUGUCGGAUUAGCUAGUUGGCGGGGUAAAGGCCCACCAAGGCGACGAUCCGUAGCUGGUCUGAGAGGAUGAUCAGCCACACUGGAACUGGAACACGGUCCAGACUCCUACGGGAGGCAGCAGUGGGGAAUAUUGGACAAUGGGCGCAAGCCUGAUCCAGCCAUACCGCGUGGGUGAAGAAGGCCUUCGGGUUUUAAAGCCCUUUUGUUGGGAAAGAAAAGCAGCAGGUUAAUACCCCGCUGUUCUGACGGUACCCAAAGAAUAAGCACCGGCUAACUUCGUG
rnacentral:rRNA from 1 species